rnacentral:rRNA from 1 species
AGUGAACGCUGGCGGCAGGCCUAACACAUGCAAGUCGAACGGCAGCACAGGGAGCUUGCUCCUGGGCGGCGAGUGGCGGACGGGUGAGGAAUACAUGGGAAUCUGCCCAAUCGUGGGGGAUAACGUAGGGAAACUUACGCUAAUCCCGCAUACGACCUACGGGUGAAAGCGGCGGACCGCAAGGCGUCGCGCGAUUGGAUGAGCCCAUGUCGGAUUAGCUAGUUGGCGGGGUAAAGGCCCACCAAGGCGACGAUCCGUAGCUGGUCUGAGAGGAUAAUCAGCCACACUGGAACUGAGAAACGCUCCAGACUCCUAGGGUAGGCAGAAGUGGGGAAUAUUAGCAAAUAGGGCCAAACCUGAUCCAGCAAUGCCGCGUGAGAGAAGAAGGCCAGCGGCUUGUAAAGCUCUAUUGUCAGGAAAGAAAAGCUUUCGGUUAAUACCCGGAAGACCUGACGGUACCGGAGGAAUAAGCACCGGCUAACUUCGUGCCAGCCGCCGCCGUAACAC